UGGAAAGCUCUGAGAUGUACAGCAUAAUGAAAUGAUUAUCACCUGAAAUGAUUAUCACAAUCAAGUUUAGUGAAAAUUCAUCAUCUCAUAUAGAUAAAUACACAGAAGUGGAACUGCUGGAAC